rnacentral:rRNA from 1 species
GACUACUGGGGUAUCUAAUCCUGUUUGCUCCCCACGCUUUCGUGCCUCAGCGUCAGUUAUGGCUUAGCGAGCUGCCUUCGCAAUUGGUGUUCUGUGUCAUAUCUAAGCAUUUCACCGCUACAUGACACAUUCCGCCCACCUCAACCAUACUCAAGACUAGCAGUAUCAAUGGCAGUUCCGCCGUUAAGCGACGGGCUUUCACCACUGACUUACUAAUCCGCCUACGCACCCUUUAAACCCAAUAAAUCCGGAUAACGCUCGGGUCCUUCGUAUUACCGCGGCUGCUGGCACGAAGUUAGCCGACCCUUAUUCUUACAGUACCAUCAACCCUCCUCACGAGGAGGGGUUUUGUCCCGUAUAAAAGAAGUUUACGACCCAUAGGGCCUUCAUCCUUCACGCGGCAUGGCUGGAUCAGGCUUGCGCCCAUUGUCCAAUAUUCCUCACUGCAGCCACCCGUAGG